rnacentral:rRNA from 1 species
GGGUCCGCACAAGCGGUGGAGCAUGUGGUUUAAUUCGAUGCAACGCGAAGAACCUUACCUACUCUUGACAUCCAGAGAAGCCAGCGGAGACGCAGGUGUGCCUUCGGGAACUCUGAGACAGGUGCUGCAUGGCUGUCGUCAGCUCGUGUUGUGAAAUGUUGGUUAAGUCCCGCAACGAGCGCAACCCUUGUCCUUGUUUGCCAGCGAGUAAUGUCGGGAACUCCAGGGAGACUGCCGGUGAUAAACCGGAGGAAGGUGGGGACGACGUCAAGUCAUCAUGGCCCUUACGAGUAGGGCUACACACGUGCUACAAUGGCGCAUACAGAGGGCAGCAAGCUAGCGAUAGUGAG